AAGUGAUUUGCCUAGAUUAAUAAAGCAUUCUGUGUGAAGUCGAAAUUGAACUCGAUCUUUCUCAGUGCCCAAGAUCUGUCCCAGACUCCACCUAGCCGACCAAGUAGCUGGCUCCCUCUUUGGCUCUCAUUGGUAACUUUUCUAGAAUGAUCUUUCUUCUGCCUCUGAACUUGGAAUAUUCCAAGAUACAUUAAGUACUCAUAUCAAUAAAUCUUUUUCCUAAUAACACGUUCUCUCUCUACCACCACCUUUCUGAAGUUUCAGAGUCUGUUGAAGAAAGGAAGUGAGAAAGAAAAAGGAAAAAAAAAAAAGGAUCGAAGAAAAAGGAGAACCCAGACAAGGCCCGCCCUAAAAAAAAAAUCUUCAGUAAAGCGACACCAUCCGUGGACCACGCCAAGGCUGCCUCUAGGAGGCGCUCUGCCCAUCCCGGAAACGUUUCAAACCAGUGACGCAAUAAUGACUCCAGGCAGAAAUAAACGCAGCCCGGCACCAGUUCUCUUUCAAUUACCGGCUGCUCCAUCACUUUUAAAGUGGGUGGCACAAUGCUUGCUCCGUUGCGCCUGGGGAAGAAAGACAUAGACAGGAAGAAAGUCGGGAAGGCCGGAAGAAAAAACUCUACUCAUUCUGAGGAGAGAUGCUGGGGGCCAACAAACCUCGUACAGGUCAGAAAACAGAGGCAAACAAGGUCAAAGUAUCCAGGGUUACAUAGCUAGUGAUCUUCAAAAUUUUCAAAUGGAAGCAAUUCAGUUUCCUGGGAUGGAUCUGUGCAAGUUUCAUAGACGUGCAACAAAGAGAUCAGCAUAAUGGUUCUGCAGGACCUUCAGUUUGGUAAGUGGUCUAAU